rnacentral:rRNA from 1 species
AUACGUAGGUGGCGAGCGUUAUCCGGAAUUACUGGGUGUAAAGGGCGCGCAGGCGGGGAUGCAAGUCAGAUGUGAAAUACCGGUGCUUAACACCGGGGCUGCAUCUGAAACUGUGUUUCUUGAGUGUCGGAGAGGAAAGUGGAAUUCCCAGUGUAGCGGUGAAAUGCGUAGAGAUUGGGAGGAACACCAGUGGCGAAGGCGGCUUUCUGGACGACAACUGACGCUGAGGCGCGAAAGCGUGGGGAGCAAACAGGAUUAGAUACCCUGGUAGUCCACGCCGUAAACGAUGGAUACUAGGUGUAGGAGGUAUCGACCCCUUCUGUGCCGGAGUUAACACAAUAAGUAUCCCACCUGGGGAGUACGGCCGCAAGGCUGAA